rnacentral:lncRNA from 1 species
CUCCUGUGAGAAGAGGAAUGCUGAAACAUCCUUUAAAUAGGCCAGACCAUGCUUAGGAAUUAACGGUAGGAGUAAAUGCUUGGUCAAGAUUCAUAAAUAUUUGCUGAGAAUCAGUCAGAGAAUCACCACCAAUAUCCCAGACAAUAAUUAACGGUAGGAGUAAAUGCUUGGUCAAGAUUCAUAAAUAUUUGCUGAGAAUCAGUCAGAGAAUCACCACCAAUAUCCCAGACAAUC